rnacentral:rRNA from 1 species
CUUGCUAUGAGCUGUUUUAGCGGCGGACGGGUGAGUAACGCGUGAGCAACCUUUCCCAGACAGGGGGAUAACGCAGCGAAAGUUGCACUAAUACCGCAUAAGACCACAGAGCCACAUGGCAUAGGGGUCAAAGGAGCAAUCCGGUCUGAGGUGAGCUCGCGUCCCAUUAGGUAGUUGGUGAGGUAACGGCCCACCAAGCCUGCGAUGGGUAGCCGACCUGAGAGGGUGAUCGGCCACAUUGGGACUGAGACACGGCCCAAACUCC